GUGGAAUGGGGGUAGUCUGAUGCAGCCCGCCGCGUGAGUGAUGAAGGCCUUCGGGUUGUAAAGCUCUUUUUUCAGGGAGGAAAGUGUUGUGGUUAGUAACCUUGGCACCUGACCUUUCCCUGACAGAAAGCCCCGGGCUACUUCAUGCCCCCACCCCUAUAAUAAAAACCCCCCCCCCGCGGUUAACGAUCCCUCCGCGAGUAAAUGCCC
rnacentral:rRNA from 1 species